GAGGGGCCCGCGCCUGAUUAGCUAGUUGGUGGGGUAAUGGCUCACCAAGGCAACGAUCAGUAUCCGGCCUGAGAGGGCGGACGGACACACUGGGACUGAGACACGGCCCAGACUCCUACGGGAGGCAGCAGUGGGGAAUUGUUCGCAAUGGGCGCAAGCCUGACGACGCAACGCCGCGUGGAGGAUGAAGAUCUUCGGGUCGUAAACUCCUUUCGAUCGAGACGAACGGCCCUCGGGCUAAUACCCUGAGGGAGUGACGGUACCGAGAGAAGAAGCCCCGGCUAACUCCGUGCCAGCAGCCGCGGUAAUACGGGGGGGGCAAGCGUUGUUCGGAAUUACUGGGCAUAAAGGGCUCGUAGGCGGCCAACUAAGUCAUACGUGAAAUCCCUCGGCUUAACCGGGGAACUGCGUCUGAUACUGGAUGGCUUGAGUUCGGGAGAGGGAUGCGGAAUUCCAGGUGUAGCGGUGAAAUGCGUAGAUAUCUGGAGGAACACCGGUGGCGAAGGCGGCAUCCUGGACCGAUACUGACGCUGAGUGAGCGAAAGCCAGGGGAGCAAACGGGAUUAGAUACCCCGGUAGUCCUGGCCCUAAACGAUGAAUGCUUGGUGU
rnacentral:rRNA from 1 species